rnacentral:lncRNA from 1 species
CAAGCAUCAGACUGUGCAUGGAGUGCAAGCUGGUGCAGUGGGAGUCCCAAGGACAGGAGGUGGACAGGACAAGGGCUUCAGCGGACCACCUGCACAACACCACGGUGCUCAAGGGCUAUCAGUGAAGGAAAAGGGAAGAAAGGAACAAAUGGCCUGUGGCGGGGUAAAAAACAACUCCAGCUCUUCCUACCAGGCCAACUUUUGUGACUGGCUCCCAGGCUGCCUUGCCUCUGGGGUUCAAGGGAGGCUUGUCUUCUGAGAGUCGGUAGGAUUAGACAAAAACUCCAGCUCUGUUCCAAGGGUCUAUCAAUAUCCUCAUAGCUGGGUAUGUUAAGUGCUGGUAUAUUUACCCUGUUUAAUCAUGGUUCCAUCCCUCUGAGGAAAAAACCUAGUAAUUGGGCUCAACACCUCAGUGCAGCAUUUCCUGUCAUCUCUGGGACAGCAGAGUGGAGGUGACCUCCCUUCCCACUCAUUGGAGAGAACAUUAAUUGCUAGAGGAGCCAGAAAUACCCUAAUGCCCAUGGGUGACCAGGGUCCCUUCUGGGCCAUGUGGUGUGGAGAAUGAGUUUGACCACCCC